rnacentral:lncRNA from 1 species
GGAAAUGCCAGUUGAGUCCUGACCUUCCUCCUUCCGUGACAGAAUUCCAGCUGUACCAUGACAGAAAUCUGACUCUGAGAGUGAGGGGAGUGUGGUGGUUUCCUUGGACUCCAUCCAAACGAAGCAAGAUGAGCAUCUGUCUGCUGAUUUAUCAAGAGGACCAGCGAUGGUUUAGGAAUGAUGGACAGUCCUCUGAGGAAGCAGUGCCAGAAGCAUGAUGAGCAGAAAUGCUGAACAAGAUGCUGGCUGGAGGGGAAAUCGGUCUCCCAGGCCGAUUAGCUUGGAACAAAAAACAGACAUUAAACUCGCCCAGGAUACGUGUUCAUCAAAGUUUUAAAGAGGUAUGCAGUUGCAACACGACGCUGAUGUCUGGGAAAGGGAACUUAUUUUCAGGAGUACUGAUAUUGGC